GGCUCAAUGGUCUAGUAGUAUGAUUCUCCUUUAGGGUAGGAGAGGUCCCGGGUUCAAUUCCCGGUUGAGCCC